CCCGCGGAGCCCGAAAACCGGAGCACUAAAUGAGUCAGACCCGCCAUAAAGGCGAAGGCUGCCCCGGCGGUUUCUGUGUCAACUAGUGAGGCGAGCAGGCGAGGAAAGUGGUGACUGACUGACUGGUUGUGUUGGCAGAGCUGCUCCACCCCGACAGCUCCUCCACCGAUCCCUGUUAUGGUCACCGGGAGGACUGAUGACGGUGUGACACACGGAUGUUGAAAGAAUAGACCCAGGGCGCUGGUUUCCCCGAGUUCAGACUCUCAGGCAGACUGACUAGCAGAAUAUACAGGUACAUACAGUUUAUACAUCUGAUAUAAUAAAUCAAACAAGACCUACCGGUAAAAGAUCAAUAAAAAUUAGUUAAGUCAAAAUAAACUAAAUAAUACAUCA